ACCUGACUGGCUCAGCCGGUGGAGCACGUGACUCUUGAUCUCAAGAUUAUGAGUUUGAGCCUCUUGUUGGGUA
rnacentral:tRNA from 1 species